UUUGUCUUAAUGGCAAAUGUGAGAUGCAGUGUAUGGAAUGUCAAAUUUCUAGUAUGAGAAAUUAACGAUUUAAGUCCUUCUUAAAUGAGGCCAUUUACCCAUAGAGGGUGCCAGGCCCGUAUAACGUUAAUGAUUACUAGAUGACAUUUCCAAAGAGUCGUGUUGCUUGAUAGUGCAGCACUAAGUGGGUGGUAAACUCCAUCUAAAACUAAAUAUAACCAUGAGACCGAUAGUAAACAAGUACCGUGAGGGAAAGUUGAAAAGAACUCUGAAUAGAGAGUUAAAUAGUACGUGAAACUGCUUAGAGGUUAAGCCCGAUGAACCUGAAUAUCUAAUGUAGAAAAUUCAUCAUUAUGAAUUUAAUAUAAUAAAACAUGGUGUGCAUUUUUUCUAUAUAGACAUUGUAAUCUAUUAAUAUAAAUUAUUUAUCAAAAGAUCAGCGAAAGUUUAUUUAAAUUAUUUUGCUUGCAAUUUAACAUAAAAUAAAUGCUUUUGAUUUGAUAAAGUGUUGAUAGAUUUAAAUAUAGUGCUUAAAUAAUAUUUUAUAAUAGCAUAUUAAUCAUUGAUUUUUAUGUUUCUUAUAUGCACUUAUAUGAUUAACAAUGCGAAAGAUUCAGGAUACCUUCGGGACCCGUCUUGAAACACGGACCAAGGAGUCUAACAUAUUUGCAAGUUAUUGGGAAAAACUUAAUAGCGAAAUUAACAUAACAUAAUGGGAUUAGUUUUUAGCCUAUUAAUUCAAUCCCGGGGCGUUCUAUAUAGUUAUGUAUAAUAAUAUUUAUAUUAUUUAUACCUCUAACUAGAGCGUACCUUAAGCAUAUAUGCUGUGACCCGAAAGAUGGUGAACUAUACUUGAUCAGGUUGAAGUCAGGGGAAACCCUGAUGGAAGACCGAAACAGUUCUGACGUGCAAAUCGAUUGUCAGAAUUGAGUAUAGGGGCGAAAGACCAAUCGAACCAUCUAGUAGCUGGUUCCCUCCGAAGUUUCCCUCAGGAUAGCUGGUGCAUUUAAAAUUUUUGUAAAAUAAUCUUAUCUGGUAAAGCGAAUGAUUAGAGGCCUUAGGGUCGAAACGAUCUUAACCUAUUCUCAAACUUUAAAUGGGUAAGAACCUCACCUUUCUUGGUAUGAAGGUUGUGGUUGUGAUAUAAUGUGCCCAGUGGGCCACUUUUGGUAAGCAGAACUGGCGCUGUGGGAUGAACCAAACGCNNUNUUACGGUGCCCAAAUUAACAACUCAUGCAGAUACCAUGAAAG
rnacentral:rRNA from 1 species